rnacentral:tRNA from 1 species
GGAAGAAUGUCCGAAUUGGCUAAGGAACCGGUCUUGAAAACCGGCGAAACCGCAAGGUGUCUGGGUUCGAGUCCCAGUUCUUCCG